ACUAUGGGGGAAAAGAAGUAGAAGUAGCUCUCGAUAAUUUUUUUUUCUAGUCUGUAUCCUGUUGAAGCUCUUGAUAAUUUUGUGAUAACAAUUUUCAUUUGAAGUUUCAGUGCCUAUGAAGAAGGAGCUUGUAUAAUGAUUCUCUCAGAAGCAUUAACUGCCUUUUAUUGAGUGAUUGCUGUAUUCCAGGGAUACUGAAAGAUUUAUUAGAUGAUCUAUUUUAAUCCUCAGAGAAUUCCUGUAACAUAGGUGUUAUCUUGAUUUUUUCAGUUGAGAAAAUUGAUGCUCAGAGAGAUUCAACAUAUUUACAUCCAGGGGGCAUACCGGCUGUUAAGUGGCAGAGUUAAUUGUGCAGGGUCAGAAAGAGUGGUAAAACCAGGAAUAGUGUCAAAAUUUUACUCUGGUUACAUGAAUUAGAUUAGAAUUGCCUCUUACUUGAUUCUUAAGAUAGCCCCAUGAAUACCUGCCUCAUUCUUAGGGGUAUUUGGAUGGUGUGAAAAGGGAGGUGGUGGUGUGUACUGUGGAUUUUGAGGCCAGUAAGAUUGCCUUUGAGGUUAUUGUAAAAGUUUUGAGUUGUACAGCACUUGAUUAUUUUGCUGCAUUGUGAAAGGACCUCUCCAGCAAUGAUUACUUCAGAAUUACCAGUGUUACAGUA
rnacentral:lncRNA from 1 species